rfam:Pristionchus pacificus strain PS312 contig10431, whole genome shotgun sequence.
UCUUCAUUUCCCACACUCUCUCACCGGUCGGAGAAGCGAGAUAGUGUGCAAAAUGAAGAGA